rnacentral:rRNA from 1 species
GGUUAAGUGAAUAAGGGCGCACGGUGGAUGCCUUGGCACUAGGAGCCGAUGAAGGACGGGACUAACACCGAUAUGCUUUGGGGAGCUGUAAGUAAGCUAUGAUCCAGAGAUUUCCGAAUGGGGGAACCCAAUAUCUUUUAUAGGAUAUUACUUUUCAGUGAAUACAUAGCUGAUUAGAGGUAGACGCAGAGAACUGAAACAUCUUAGUACCUGCAGGAAGAGAAAGAAAAUUCGAUUCCCUGAGUAGCGGCGAGCGAAACGGGAAGAGCCCAAACCAACAAGCUUGCUUGUUGGGGUUGUAGGACUCCGAUAUGGUAGUCUGUUAGUAUAGUUGAAGGAUUUGGAAAAUUCCGCUAAAGAGGGUGAAAGCCCCGUAGACGAAAUGCUGACAACACCUAGGAGGAUCCUGAGUACGGCGGAACACGAGAAAUUCCGUCGGAAUCCGCGGGGACCAUCCCGCAAGGCUAAAUACUCCCUAGUGACCGAUAGUGAACCAGUACCGUGAGGGAAAGGUGAAAAGCACCCCGGAAGGGGAGUGAAAUAGAUCCUGAAACCGUGUGCCUACAACAAGUCAAAGCUCGUUAAUGAGUGAUGGCGUGCCUUUUGUAGAAUGAACCGGCGAGUUACGAUUGCAUGCGAGGUUAAGUCGAAGAGACGGAGCCGCAGCGAAAGCGAGUCUGAAUAGGGCGAAUGAGUAUGUAGUCGUAGACCCGAAACCAUGUGAUCUACCCAUGUCCAGGUUGAAGGUGCGGUAAAACGCACUGGAGGACCGAACCCACGUACGUUGAAAAGUGCGGGGAUGAGGUGUGGGUAGCGGAGAAAUUCCAAACGAACUUGGAGAUAGCUGGUUCUCUCCGAAAUAGCUUUAGGGCUAGCCUCGGAAUUGAGAAUGAUGGAGGUAGAGCACUGUUUGGACUAGGGGCCCAUCUCGGGUUACCGAAUUCAGAUAAACUCCGAAUGCCAUUCAUUUAUAUCCGGGAGUCAGACUGCGAGUGAUAAGAUCCGUAGUCGAAAGGGAAACAGCCCAGACCACCAGCUAAGGUCCCAAAAUAUAUGUUAAGUGGAAAAGGAUGUGGGGUUGCACAGACAACUAGGAUGUUGGCUUAGAAGCAGCCACCAUUUAAAGAGUGCGUAAUAGCUCACUAGUCGAGUGACCCUGCGCCGAAAAUGUACCGGGGCUAAACAUAUUACCGAAGCUGUGGACUACACCAUUAGGUGUAGUGGUAGGAGAGCGUUCUAAGGGCGUUGAAGGUCGAUCGUGAGGACGGCUGGAGCGCUUAGAAGUGAGAAUGCCGGUAUGAGUAGCGAAAGACAGGUGAGAAUCCUGUCCACCGUAUGACUAAGGUUUCCUGGGGAAGGCUCGUCCGCCCAGGGUUAGUCGGGACCUAAGCCGAGGCCGAUAGGCGUAGGCGAUGGACAACAGGUUGAUAUUCCUGUACCAGUUGUUUUUGUUUGAGCAAUGGAGGGACGCAGUAGGCUAAGGAAUGCAUGCGAUUGGAAGUGCAUGUCCAAGCAAUGAGUCUUGAGUAGAGUUAAAUGCUUUACUCUCUAAGGACAAGUUGUGACGGGGAGCGAAAUAAUAGUAGCGAAGUUCCUGAUGUCACACUGCCAAGAAAAGCUUCUAGUGAGAAAACAACUGCCCGUACCGUAAACCGACACAGGUAGUCGAGGAGAGUAUCCUAAGGUGAGCGAGCGAACUCUCGUUAAGGAACUCGGCAAAAUGACCCCGUAACUUCGGGAGAAGGGGUGCUGACUUCGGUCAGCCGCAGUGAAUAGGCCCAAGCGACUGUUUAUCAAAAACACAGGUCUCUGCAAAAUCGUAAGAUGAAGUAUAGGGGCUGACGCCUGCCCGGUGCUGGAAGGUUAAGAGGAUGGGUUAGCUUCGGCGAAGCUCAGAAUUGAAGCCCCAGUAAACGGCGGCCGUAACUAUAACGGUCCUAAGGUAGCGAAAUUCCUUGUCGGGUAAGUUCCGACCCGCACGAAAGGCGUAACGA